GAAAGGUUCCCCAAACAAACAAGUACCCAAAUAGCUACGUCUCUGAAAACGAGGCAAAUAGCUUCGAUUCAGUGAAACAAGACCGAAUUCAGCAGGUGCGCCCACCACACUCUGUGCGAUGUGACCUUGCGUUGGUGACCGUAGAAGUAGUGGCAAUCUUGAGAACCAGGAAACGCGAGUUGGCUUCAUUUCCCCGAGAAAAUCCCCCAAAGAGUUGGAAAAUAAUGAAAUGUGCGGCCCUUCUGACCUGUCUUCUGACAACGAUCCACGUCGGACAUGCCUUGAACUGCUACAAGUGUAACGGCUGCGAAACCGCAAAAUAUGCGAAGGAAACCUGCCGAAAUGUGGACCCAGCUCAGCAAAUCAGCGCCUGUCUCACGCAAAAAAUCCACGUGGGCGGAACGCCGGAACCAAUGACCAUCAAGAAGUGCACCGUUUACGGGAAAACCGAAAAAUUCAACUGUCCGACGCUUCCAGACAGCGACACGCUCUCGUGCCGAAUUUGUCACGAGGAUUUUUGCAAUUCUGGAAACGCUCGCAGGAUUAAUCUGUACCUGAUGAUUUUUGCCAUUAAUUUUUCGCUACUGUUGAGUUUUGUAUUUAAUUAUUAUUAAAAUAAAUCGGUUGGAUAAAGGU